rnacentral:misc_RNA from 1 species
AAAGUCGUAACAAGGUCUCCGUUGGUGAACCAGCGGAGGGAUCAUUAUCGAGUUACAAAACUCCCAAACCUUUGUGAACAUACCAUCGUUGCUUCGGCGGGACUCGCCCCGGGGCUCACCCCCCGGAACCAGGCGCCCGCCGAGGGACCCAAACUCUUGUCUUUACAGUGGGAUAUUCUGAGUAAUUAUACAAAUAAGCAAUCAAAACUUUCAGCAACGGAUCUCUUGGCUCUG